rnacentral:rRNA from 1 species
CGGUAAUUCCAGCUCCAAUAGCGUAUAUUAAAGUUGUUGCAGUUAAAAAGCUCGUAGUUGAACCUUGGGUCUGGCUGGCCGGUCCGCCUCACCGCGAGUACUGGCCCGGCUGGACCUUUCCUUCUGGGGAACCCCAUGGCCUUCACUGGCUGUGGGGGGAACCAGGACUUUUACUGUGAAAAAAUUAGAGUGUUCAAAGCAGGCCUUUGCUCGGAUACAUUAGCAUGGAAUAAUAGAAUAGGACGUGCGGUUCUAUUUUGUUGGUUUCUAGGACCGCCGUAAUGAUUAAUAGGGAUAGUCGGGGGCGUCAGUAUGUCAGCUGAAUCAAGGAUGGUGACAGAUUACUUGAAGAUUUGCUGAAGACUAACUACUGCGAAAGCAUUCGCCAAGGAUGUUUUCAUUAAUCAGGGAACGAAAGUUAGGGGAUCGAAGACGAUCAGAUACCGUCGUAGUCUUAACCAUAAACUAUGCCGACUAGGGAUCGGGCGAUGUUAUUUUUUUGACUCGCUCGGCACCUUACGAGAAAAUCAAAGUCUUUGGGUUCUGGGGGGAGUAUGGUCGCAAGGCUGAAACUUAAAGAAAUUGACGGAAGGACACACCAGAGGUGGAGCCUGCGGUUUAAUUUGACUCAACACGGGGAAACUUACCAGGUCCAGACAUGAUGAGGAUUGACAGUUUGAAAGCACUUUCUUGAUUUCAUGGGUGGUGGUGCAUGGCCGUUCUUAGUUGGUGGAGUGAUUUGUCUGGUUGAUUCCGAUAACGAACGAGACGGGGGGAGUUUACUAGUUGCUAGAGUCUUGCGACUCUGUGUAACUUCUUUACUCGACAACUUGGUUUUACCAAGGGGAAGCGCCCAUACGCAAUAACCUAGUGUCUGUGACGCCCUUAGAUAGUUACAAAUGGGCUACACGCGCGCUACAACGACGAGUUCAACGAGUAAUUUUUUCCUUGCCCGGAAGGGUGUGGGUAAUCUUUUCAAUGCUCGUCGUGAUGGGGCUAGAUUCUUGCAAUUAUUAAUCUUCAACGAGGAAUCUCUAGUAUGUGCAGGUCAUCAGCCUGCGCAGAAUGCGUCCCUGUCCUUUGUACACACCGCCCGUCGCACCUACCGAUUGGACGAUCCGGCAAGAUGUUUGGAGUUGUUUGAUUUGGCUUCGGCUGAAUCGAAUGACGAAGCUCCUCAAACCUUAUCGUAAAGAGGAAGGUGAAGUCGUAACAAGGUCUCCGUAGGUGAACCCUGCG